rnacentral:rRNA from 1 species
AAUCGUGCGCAAUGGGCUAAAGCCUGACGCAGCCAUGCCGCGUGAAUUAUGAAGUUCUUAGGAUUGUAAAAUUCUUUCACCGGGGACGAUAAUGACGGUACUCGGAGAAGAAGCCCCGGCUAACUUCGUGCCAGCAGCCGCGGUAAUACGAACGGGGCUAGCGUUGCUCGGAAUUACUGGGCGUAAAGGGCGCGUAGGCGGAUCGUUAAGUCAGGGGUGAAAUCCCGGGGCUCAACCUUGGAACUGCCCUUGAUACUGGCGAUCUUGAGUAUGAGAGAGGUAUGUGGAACUCCGAGUGUAGAGGUGAAAUUCGUAGAUAUUCGGAAGAACACCAGUGGCGAAGGCGACAUACUGGCUCAUUACUGACGCUGAGGCGCGAAAGCGUGGGGAGCAAACA